rnacentral:ribozyme from 1 species
GUUACCAAUAAUAUAGAGGAGAUAGUAAUCACUAUUCGGGUAUUCAUGUAUAGCAAGACCUGUUACAUUCGGUUGGUCUAUGUUCAC